CAAGUGUAGUUUAAAAAAUACUUGUUUUAGGCACAAGAGAUAUUAAUUAUUUAUUAAUCACCUGA
rnacentral:tRNA from 1 species